rnacentral:lncRNA from 1 species
AUGGGGUUGGGGCAAAAAUUGUGACAUCAGGGUCAAAAAAUAGAAAUGUAAUAAAUGAAAUGUUUUAUUUCUUAUAUGUUUCAUGGGACAAUCCUUCAACUAAAUCCACUUACAGGCAUUUCAUACCACCCUGCAUAUUGGAGUAAAGUGAGAAAUAAGAUUUGACAAAAUACCACCGUUACAUGGACAUCAUUUAUCAUCCUUACUAAGACUAUGCUCUCCCACUGUCAAAAUAAAGGGGUUGAUCUCCAUUACUCUUGAUAAAUAUUUUGCUAACAACAUUGUUAGUCACUUUAUUCCACACUUUCCAACAUGGCAUAUAUAUUUUGAAAGAUUUAGCAUCAAUAAAUGGAACUUGAUGCUCUGUGUGUAUACCAGUGCCAUGUUCUGUGUCUUUCUUUUUUCUCACCAGUCUAGAAAAUUGAAUUUAUGAUGGCAUGUAGAACUAAAUAGUUGAGAGAAGUCAUGCCUCAACAGAAUGGAAUAUUCUCUUUGGAAAAACUAAACUACUUUUUCUGGCCUAACCUUCUAUUUUUGGUGUUACCACCGUUACAUGGACAUCAUGUCUCAGUAACAGAGGUAUACUUAGAAGCAAUGUUAAGUUAAUGUCCAUUAAUGGCCAUUACACACCAAAUUCCACUUCAUGCCUUAGAAUAUUUGCACAAGAUCAAUUGAUUACACUAAAGAAAAACAUUUGAGUGUCAAAUUCUUUGCUAAUAAACGCAAAUUAAGUUAGAGUUUAAACAAGGAAAAAUGUACAAAAUUAUUGACAAAUUAUAUUUAAAAUCAUACUACGAUAAUCCUCAAGUUUCCACUUCCGUCUACCUCUGGAAACAUUUAUGUUUCUGCCUAAAGGAAAAAAUAUGAAACAGUGCUAUCUUAUGAUCUCCAAUUCUUUUUACUUUAAAAUAACUCCUUCAAGAUAUUACUUUCAAAUGUACGUACCACCGUUACAUGGACAUCAUGUCUCAGUAACAGAGGUAUACUUUGAAGCAUUGCUAAGUUAAGGUCCAUUAAUGGCCAUUAAACACCAAAUUCCACUUCAUGCCUUAGAAUAUUUGCACAAGAUCAAUUGAUUAUACUAAAAAACAUUUUUCAUGUCAAAUUCUUUGCAAAUAAAAGCAAUUUAAAUAAGAGUUUAAACAAAGGAAAAAUGUACAAAAAUUAUUGAUAAAUUUAUAUUUAAAAUAAUACUAAGGUAAUCCUCAAGGUUCCACUUCCGUCUAUCUCUGGAAACAAAUGUUUCUGUCUAAAGGGGAAAAACAAGAGUGCUAGCUUAUGAUCUCCAAAUCUUUAUUACUUUAAAAUAUCUCCUUCACAAUAUUACUUUCAAAUGUACAUACCUCCGUUACAUGGACAUCAUGUCCUUGUAAUGAUCAUAUUGAAUAGUAUAACAUGUAUUUGCCAUUCUUUUAGUAUCAACACACUAAAUGCGAGUUAACUCAUCUUACUCAAGUGUAGAAAUACAACAUCUACAGGCAAGCUUCUAAAAUGCAUCAAUGAACAGGUUACAAGUUUAUGAACUUCAAGAAGAUCGGUGACCAAAUGGAUAGAGGUAGAAUUGUGCCUCGCCAUCAGGCCAGGAGUACAGGUCACCAGAUUGACACUUCAUGUACUGAAGAUAUACAUUUUAACCUUCAACAGAG